rnacentral:rRNA from 1 species
ACACAUGCAAGUCGAGGGGUAUGGUUCUUCGGAACCAGAGACCGGCGCACGGGUGCGUAACGCGUAUGCAAUCUACCUUUCACAGAGGGAUAGCCCAGAGAAAUUUGGAUUAAUACCUCAUAGUAUAUUGGUCUCGCAUGAGAUUAUUAUUAAAGAUUUAUCGGUGAAAGAUGAGCAUGCGUCCCAUUAGUUAGUUGGUAAGGUAACGGCUUACCAAGACUACGAUGGGUAGGGGUCCUGAGAGGGAGAUCCCCCACACUGGUACUGAGACACGGACCAGACUCCUACGGGAGGCAGCAGUGAGGAAUAUUGGACAAUGGGCGCAAGCCUGAUCCAGCCAUGCCGCGUGCAGGAUGACGGUCCUAUGGAUUGUAAACUGCUUUUAUACGAGAAGAAACACUAGUUCGUGAACUAGCUUGACGGUAUCGUAAGAAUAAGGAUCGGCUAACUCCGUGCCAGCAGCCGCGGUAAUACGGAGGAUCCAAGCGUUAUCCGGAAUCAUUGGGUUUAAAGGGUCCGUAGGCGGUCAGAUAAGUCAGUGGUGAAAGCCCAUCGCUCAACGGUGGAACGGCCAUUGAUACUGUCUGACUUGAAUUAUUAGGAAGUAACUAGAAUAUGUAGUGUAGCGGUGAAAUGCUUAGAGAUUACAUGGAAUACCAAUUGCGAAGGCAGGUUACUACUAAUGGAUUGACGCUGAUGGACGAAAGCGUGGGUAGCGAACAGGAUUAGAUACCCUGGUAGUCCACGCCGUAAACGAUGGAUACUAGCUGUUGGGAGCAAUCUCAGUGGCUAAGCGAAAGUGAUAAGUAUCCCACCUGGGGAGUACGAACGCAAGUUUGAAACUCAAAGGAAUUGACGGGGGCCCGCACAAGCGGUGGAGCAUGUGGUUUUAUUUCUAUGAUACGCGAGGAACCUUACCAAGGC